GUGCUCACUUCAGCAGCACAUAUAGUAAAACAUAUAGUAAAAUACAGAGAAUAUUAGCAUGGCCCCUGUGCAAGGAUGACAUGCAAAUUCGUGAAGUGUUCCAUAUGUUU